AAGACGAAGGAGGAGGGAAAAAAAAAAAAGAAAAAAAAAAUCCUUUAGCACAACUCGGAAUCCUUGCAGUACAGCUUUCGGUCUCUCGUGUGUCUCUUUCCCACCUUGGAAAAAGAAAUUUUAAUAAAAGGAAAAAGAAACAAUGGGCAAAAAGAAAAGAAAGGAAAGGAAAAAACUGGGGAGAUUAAAAAAAAAGAAAAAGAAAAAGAAAAAAUAAAGAAAAGAAAAAGAAACCCGUGCAGGCUUAGUUGCUGCUGUCUGGUCCCCAGAGUGACAUGGUGUGUGUGUUCGGGCUGGCCUUGCCCCUCAUUCACUUCCUCUCCUGCCAGCCAGUGGGUGGAACCCAGAGAGCCUCUCCAGGGAGCAGCGCACGCAGUCCAGAAGGCUGCAGUAUUUCCUCCAAGGGAAAAAAAGAAGAAGAAAGAAGAAAAGAAAAGAAAAGAAAAGAAAGAAAGAAAGAAAGAAAGAAAGAAAGAAAGAAAGAAAGAAAGAAAGAAAGAAAGAAAGAAAGAAAGAAAGAAAGAAAGAAAGAAAAAGGAAGAAAGAAACAAAAAGGUUGCUGCCACCCCUCUGCUGGCUAUCCUGGAAUAGCAGAGUGAGCAGUGUCUGCAGCUGAGCCCCGGGUGGAACCGAACCCUAGCCUGCCCUUGCAGUGCCUGGGUGGGGCAUGCCCCAGCCCUCCCUGCCCUGCACCGACCGGGGCUCCCAAGCGCCCAAGCUGCCUUGCCUUCUCCUUUUCAAUAGCCAAGUUCCCAGAGGGUCAGCUUGUAAAUUCUCCUCUUUACCCUUGAUGGCCCUGCUCUGAGUCCCCGCUACACUGCGAUCUUGUUGCUCAUAUGAGGAUCAGCUAAGAUGAUCAUCUGGAGAAUUUGGGUCACCUCUAACGUGUCAUAUCUGCCUCCAUUAGAUGCCAGCCUCUAUCUGGGGGCAGGUAAGCCAACUAGAGGAAACAACCAACAUAGAAAACUUUCUACAUCUCAGGAGUGUGUUAGCACAGCCCAGAGGCUACCAUGAAGCAGCAAAGGGCAAAGACCACAUGGUGAGGCUGAAGUGGGUGUCGGCAGCUAAGCCACUGUAGGCUUGGUGUGAUGGUUAAUGGCGUCACCUGGACAGGACCUAAAAUCACACAGGAGAUUAUCACCUUCUGGGGAUGUCUCUGAGGGAUCCUCAAGACUAGGCUGAGGUGGAAAGACCCAACCUAAAUAUGGGUAUCACCAAGCCAUUAGCUUGACUCCUGGACUGAAUAAAAAGGAGGAAAGUGAGCUGAGCACCAGCGUUCCUCUCUCUCUCUGCUUCCUGGAUACGAACACACUGUGACUGCUGGCCUCCUUCUCUCAGCACAACUUCCUGCCUUGAUGGAAUGCACCUUCAAACUGUGAGACGAGUAAACCCUUUCCCAUUAAGGUGUUUCGUCAGAUGUUUUAUUGCAUCAAGGAGAAAAGUCAUUUAAGUAUUUGGUAAGGACAUGACAGGGACAGCUAAACUGUUAACAGAGAGUGAUGCAUUGGAAGCCCAUCCACAUCUCCUGACCUGAGGCUCAGACUUCUUCUGCUUGAGGACACUGUCAUCCCACAUGACCCACUGAGCUCCUUCAGAUCCCAAGACUGGUAAGAGCAUCAUCCAAGACCUCUUUCACCAGUUCUGACCAAGGACAUUGGUAUUCUCAUAUGAACAACUGACUCUGGAGAUUCCCUGAAGGAAACAUUGUCUUACUUACAAACAAAAGGCUAAAUAAUUCCUCAGUCAAAGCAAUAGCCCGCUUAUAUGUAAGGUUCUCGGCAUGAGUCUAUGCUAUCAGCAAUUUCUACACAAAUUGCUACAUUCCAAAAUACUAUUCUAUUUCAUUAGAUUAUUAUAAUGUUCUGGGCAUUGAUGGUCAUUAGCCUCAGAAUCCUCAUUGCACACUUAAGGCUUUCCCUAAGUAAUGCAAAGUGGGUUCAGAAGAAUUAUAAGAUCCAUGGUGUCACUUACACACACACACACACACACACACACACACACACACACACACACACACAUCUCUUAGACACACUAGUAGCCAUAGCCAUUCAGGAGGCAAGAUAUUCCUACCAGAAAUGGUGUUUAUAGAAUUUCUGGUCUGUUGAAGUAAUAGUACUUUCCAUUGGAAUGCCUAAGUGAAGGUCGGAGGCACCUGGUUUGAGUCACUCCCUUAAUCAGAAGCCUGCUGUGCCCUGGCUGGUACCUAACCAAGGAAUCCUGGGGCAACAAACAGCAUUAGAGGGCAUGGGUGCUCCCAGGUUCCUGAGACAUUCAGCCUGGCAGGAGAGGGCCCCUCUGCAGACAAGCUCUGACCUCUAAGAUGGCCUGGCUGCCACAGACAUGCCAUGCAUAGGUGGAGUACUAUGGUGCUGAGAUGGAUGUCAGAGGAGUAAAGGAGACACCCCAUAGUCUGUGUUCAGUCUGCCCCCUAAAGAAAAUCUGGGCUCUCUUAUGAGCGGCUUAUUAUUUUUUGAUUAUAGAGACUGUGGUGGCUAAGUUUGGUUGCCAACCUGACAGGAUUUGGAAUCACAGAGGAAACCUCUGGGUAUGUCUGUGACAGAGUUUCUCAAUUUGGUUAAUGGAGGUACAAAGGCCAACCCUAAAUGGGACUGUGCUAGUCCCUGAGAUUGGGUCUAGGGAUGAAUAAGAAGGAGAAGCAGAGCUAAGCAUCAGCAUUUAUCCAGCCCAGCCCCAACCCUGCUUCCUGACUAGGAAUACAAUGGGACCAGCUGCCUCAAUGCUCUUACUGCGCUGCCUGCCCUCCAUGAUGGGUAGUGUUCUCAAAUCCUGACCCGAAAUGAAACCUUCCUUCCUUGAGUUGCUUUUCUCAGAUAUUUUGUCAAAGCAAUAAGAAAGGCAAGAAAUACACAGACUUGGCCAAAGGAAAACACAGGAAGAGCAAAUAGAGAAAAAACAUAAAUUCCAGGUAAAGGAAAGCACUAAUCUAUAAUCAAGAAGGACAGCCAUGAUGUUGAGUUAUUCUUUUAUUCAUAAAGAUUUGUUUUUAUUUUA